AGCGGAGGAAAAGAAACUAACAAGGAUUCCCCUAGUAACGGCGAGCGAAGCGGGAAGAGCUCAAAUUUGAAAGCUGGCACCUCCGGUGUCCGCGUUGUAAUCUCGAGACGUGUUUUCCGUGCGGCUCUAUGGACAAGUCCCUUGGAAUAGGGCAUCGUAGAGGGUGAGAAUCCCGUACUUGCCAUGGAAGAACCGUGCUUUGCGAUACACGCUCUAAGAGUCGAGUUGUUUGGGAUUGCAGCUCAAAAUGGGUGGUAGACUCCAUCUAAAGCUAAAUAUCGGGGAGAGACCGAUAGCGAACAAGUACCGUGAGGGAAAGAUGAAAAGCACUUUGGAAAGAGAGUUAAAAGUACGUGAAAUUGUCGAAAGGGAAGCACUUGAAGUCAGCCAUGCUGCUUGAGACUCAGCCUGGCCUUUGGGCUUGGUGUAUUUCUCGGUGGCAAGCCAGCAUUGGUUUGGGUCGUCGGAGAAGCGCAUAGGGAAUGUAGCGUCUCCGGACGUGUUAUAGCCUUAUGCUAGGAUACGACGACCUGGAUCAAGGAACGCAGUGUGCCCUCUGGGCGGGUCUUCGGACACCUUCACAC
rnacentral:rRNA from 1 species